UAUAAUUCCUAGUAUAAGGAAAACCUGUCUACCAUGGUGGCAGGUGACCUAAAGCCAACAUUUACCCUGUAUUUGGCAGGUGCCAAUUUCAUUCCCUGAAGGAGACCUCAAGUGUGGACAUCAAUCAAACAUGGCAAAAGGACACUUCCAUCCUAGAAGUCCACGGUUUGUUCCAGAGGCAGAGACAGUUGAAAUCACUCAUGUGCUUGGCAGUUUGAUGUGAUGUGGGACUAAAAAGAUGCAGAAACACCACCCAAUUUGGAUGUCCAUUUCCAGUUACCACUCUAUAUGUCCUCCCAACAACAUGAAGUCUAUAAGAGGAGCACCCUCAAUGUUCUUUUGUCAUCCAGUUGAUAAGGGAACGGUGCUACUACUAAGGCCCGAGGACUAAUGAAUCUCCACUCCAUUACCGCUGAAUCGGACAGAUUGCUCUCCCGGAGAAAUGAAUUGAGUUUUUUGUAUUUGUGAGAUCAUUCUCCCUCCAUUAACUGCUCUUUAUCCCGUCUCUUCAUCACAGGCAAAUCAGGUUAGGCAGCUAUGAUUAGCUGGGGUGGCCUCCCUUUUUAAAAGGUAAUUGGGUUUGGCGGCUCAGCUGAUAGUGCCAUUAGGACCAAUAAAGGCUGGGCUUGGCUCAUCGAGUGAAACAGAUUCUUCAGCAGCAGAUGGCAGACGGGAGGGAGAGGGCUCUGAUGCAUUGAGGCCGAAAACAAAGUUUGUGUAACCAAAGUAGUUUGGGGGCAUCCUCUCUACGCCGCCACACCUUCCCCCAACCAGCUUCAUAUUUGUGUGUUUCAGUAGCGAUGAUGGGGGCGGCUUUUAAUAUGCUGAUUACAAAAUGAUUUGGCCAUUAGAAUGUGAU